UGUGACAAACUAUUAAGCAACACCAUCCUUAGACCCAGGCGAGGGCAGUCUCUGCCGUUGCUUAGCAGGGCCCUAAUCUGUCCUUCUUGAAGUCGCAGUCCUGGCCCACAGAUGACUGAAAUGACCAAAGAACUAGAAAAAAAUCCUUGCAUACCCACCUGCCAUAGUGUCCUAGAGCUGCCAUAACAAAGCACCGCACAUUGGGUGGUUACAGCAACAGAAAUUUAUUCUCUCCCAGUUCCAGAAGUUGGAAGUCAAGGUAUCAGUCGGGCCAGGCUCCCCCAGAGGCUGCAGGGGAGAAUCCUCCUUCACCACUUCCAGCUCCUGAAGGCUGCGGGCAAGGCUUGCAUUGCUCAACUCCUAUGCAGCUUCCCCCUUCCAGUCUCUGCCUUCAUCUUCACAUGGGCUUCUUCCUUCUGAGUGUAUCUCGGUGUAGUCUCUCCUCGUCUUAGAAGGACAGCAGUCACUGGACUUAGGGCGCACCAUACCCCUGUAUGAUAUCCUCUCAACAGUUACAUCUGCAAACACCCCAUUUCCAGUUAAGGUCACAUCCUGAGGUUCCUGGUGGAUGUGGAGUUUGGGGAGACAUUAUUCAACCCUGUACAAAGACUCUUGUUUUUUGUUUCUGUCUCUGUUUCUUUGUCUCUGUCAUUCUCUCUUCUUUGCAGGAUGAGUUAGCUUUGUAAAAAUUAAUUGGGACACUUUUAAAUUUUUUAUACCCUGAAAACAAUUCGAUCAUAUAGAAAUUCUCUCUUCCUUUAAGGUUUGACAGAAUUUGCCCAACGCCUCCCCCAAAUUGCCUAAGUUCACGUUUCAUCAAAGUCUUGCAGAGUUCUUUAUCAGCUGCUUCUGUGACUUUUCAUCUUGUUGAAUUUUUCUGCCUAUUCUUGAGUGGAUUAUAUUGUCUUAUUUUGGUUAAUAUUUUAUUAGCAUAAAUUUAAACACAGUGUGCUUUUAGCUUGAAUCCUCUUUCAUGUCUUUGUCUCUCAUCCCUUUUAUAUUUCUAGAGCUGUUUAUUUGCAUUUUUUUCUUUUUUUUCCUCAUGCAAACUUGCCAGAGGUUUGUCUCAUUUAUUGGUCUUUUUUUUUUUUUUUUUUUUUUUUUUUUUUUUUGCGCAUGGUUCCUAGUCGGAUUCGUUUCCACUGUGCCACGAUGGGAACUCCUUAUUGAUCUUUUAAAAGAGUUAGCUCUUUGAUUUGUCUUAUCAAUUCUAUUGUUUUCUGUUUUCUAAUUUGCUUUUGUCUGCUUUUCUCUUUCCUUCUUUCCUUCUGCCACCCUUAGAUUUAUUUUAUUAGUUUUUAAUCUCAGUUGUUUAGUUAAUUGCUUUUUUAUUCAUUUUUAUCUUAUAACAAAACCACUUAGCUUUAUCUUU
rnacentral:lncRNA from 1 species